UACGAAGGUGGCAAGCGUUACUCGGAAUUACUAGGCGUAAAGGGCAGGUAGGCGGUCUUGUUAGUCUGUUGUGAAAGCUCCUUGCUUAACGGGGAGAGGCCAACAGAUACUGCGAGGCUUGAGUAUAGGAGAGGGUACUGGAAUUCCCGGUGUAGCGGUGAAAUGUGUAGAGAUCGGGAGGAACACCGGUGGCGAAGGCGGGUCUCUGGGCAUCUCCUGACGCUGAGGCGCGAAAGCGUGGGGAGCAAACGGG
rnacentral:rRNA from 1 species